GGGGGUCUCUUUUAUAGAUAGGAGAGCGUAACCGCUUGACAGCGACGUCCAUAACUACCUGGUAGUGGGCCGUUCAGGGCCACGUGGAGUUUGUUACGGAGAGUGGAAUGGUGUCCGUUGUCAUGACUUACCAGAGAGUGGUGGGGCCACGUGGAGUCUGUUACAGAGAGUGGGGUAGUGUCUGUUGUCACAACUUGUCAGAGAGUUCGGGCCAGACGGCUGAAGCUCGGUUGGGACGUCUGGUAU
rnacentral:lncRNA from 1 species